rnacentral:rRNA from 1 species
UACGAAGGGGGCUAGCGUUGCUCGGAAUCACUGGGCGUAAAGCGCACGUAGGCGGACUCUUAAGUCGGUGGUGAAAUCCCGGGGCUCAACCUCGGAAUUGCCUUCAAAACUGGAUAUCUUGAGUUCGGGAGAGGUGAGUGGAACUCCGAGUGUAGUGGUGAAAUGCGUAGAGAUCGGCAGGAACAGCCCAGGGGGAAACCAGUCGACUGGGCAUGCUACUGACGCUGAGGUGCGAGAGCG